rnacentral:tRNA from 1 species
CGGGGUGUGGCGCAGCUUGGUAGCGCACCUGCUUUGGGAGCAGGGUGGCCGCAGGUUCAAAUCCUGUCACCCCGACCA